rnacentral:rRNA from 1 species
UACGGAGGGGGCAAGCGUUAUUCGGAAUUAUUGGGCGUAAAGGGCGCGUAGGCGGCUAGAUGUGUCAAAGGUGAAAUCCCUCGGCUCAACUGAGGAACUGCCUUUGAAACUGUCUGGCUUGAGGCCGGGAGAGGGUAGCGGAAUUCCCAGUGUAGCGGUGAAAUGCGUAGAGAUGUGGAGGAACACCGAUGGCGAAGGCAGCCCCCUGGGUCAAGAUUGACGCUCAUGCACGAAAGCGUGGGGAGCAAACAGG